GCAAACAUUCAACCAAGAAGUUUAAAUUAUCUGAACUAAGGGCCCAGUAGCAUUGUGUCAACAAUAAUGCAAGCUUCUAAAUUAACUGCAUAUUGGAGAUA